UUGGUUUAUUUGGAGGUGUGCGUUGAAUUUGGUUUUGAUUGGUUUGCUUGGAGGUGAUUUGGUUUAUACUUUCUGGAUUUUUGCUGUACCAUUGGAUCAAGUCUUAACCAUUCGGCUGGAGGACGCCUU